CCAACCACAUGUUAGCAAUGGUGUGUGAUAUCACCACUGUAGCAACAGAGCCUUCUCUUCUUCCCCACCCCUUCCUUUGCUGGCUGAGCUAAAGCAGUGGGUCAUUCUAGCUGACGCGUUUCCUCACACCAACACUGAAAAGCAUGUCUUUUACUAAGACUGUAAGCAAAAUAAGGAUUACUGCUCUUCUCUUCAGCUCCAGAAUGGAAUGGAAAGAAGCGGUCAAUUUGUUUCAAGUCAAGACUGCUGCAGAAAUCAAAGCAGUACUUCAUGGACUACUUGUGAAUUAAAUAUUUCUUUCUGCAGGGAAUAAGAUGAAAAAAGAAUGGAUUUUCAGAAAGUGCCAGUAAGAUCUUGAUGUUUUUGCCUCCUGCAAAAUUCUGGUGAAGAACAUAAAUGUUAGAAGUGAGGGAAACAUGGCAAUGAUCUUUCUUCCUACUGAGUUUUGGAAACAGUGCCAACCCAAUGUGACUAUUGUAUGCAAAAGCAAAAGCUGUGUUACUUGAAUCGUCUGAAAGAGACUGACACAGGGCAAAUAACUUUCCUACCCCUGAGUUGUCCAUGUACAGGAUGCGAAUUUUGCAGUAGGAUCUGUGAUAAUGUAAGCAAGGAACUUAGAUAGUCAAACAGAGAGCAUGUGCCAGCAUGUUGUGCAACAGUUACUCAUAAUUCCAAAGUAUUUGUACUUUACUGACUUGGAUCUAAUUCUUAUUAUAAAAAGAGCCUUACGGUC